rnacentral:rRNA from 1 species
GACGAACGCUGGCGGCGUGCUUAACACAUGCAAGUCGAACGGAAAGGCCCCUUUGGGGGUACUCGAGUGGCGAACGGGUGAGUAACACGUGAGUAACCUGCCCUUGACUUCGGGAUAACUUCAGGAAACUGGGGCUAAUACCGGAUAGGAAUCCUUGCUGCAUGGUGGGGGUUGGAAAGCUUCGGCGGUUUUGGAUGGACUCGCGGCUUAUCAGCUUGUUGGUGGGGUAGUGGCUUACCAAGGCUUUGACGGGUAGCCGGCCUGAGAGGGCGACCGGCCACAUUGGGACUGAGAUACGGCCCAGACGCCUACGGGAGGCAGCAGGGGGGAAUAUUGCACAAUGGGCGGAAGCCGGAUGCAGCAACGCCGCGGGCGGGAGGACGGCCUUCGGGUUGGAAACCGCUUUCAGCAGGGGCGAAGCUUGUGGUGACGGUACCUGCAGAAGAAGCACCGGCUAACUACGUG